GCCGGACUGGCGUAAUGGCUAACGCGUCUGACUUCUAGGUAUAACCAAUAAGGGUUGCCUGAAGCGUAUCAGAAGAUUGUGGGUUCGAGUCCCACGUUUGGCU
rnacentral:tRNA from 1 species